UUUCAUUCUGCUGAGUGGGGCAGUGCUAUUUUGCCUGACAACCAGGCAGCUAUCAAAAAAGGUGAAGGGAAAAGACAACCUCUGAAUUAAAUGCACUUCUGGAGUGGGUUUAAAUUUGUUGCACUGUUAGUAAAGAGAAAUUUUAAGAAGGCCAGAUGCCAAAUUGGAAAGGAGUGAGAGCUUAGAGCAAGUCUGCUACCAGCUCAGAAAGAACCUAUUUAACUUGUACAUCGUGUUCUCUUGUGUUCAAACCUGUCCUUUUCUGUAUUUCUCGAACAGCUGUAGCUCAGGUUAGGCAUUCCACCAGGCAAGUCCUCUCUCCCCUUCUUCAAAUCUUCCAAGUGAGCUACUGAAUUAAUCUGCCUAUCUUUUGCAUUUUGAUAGCUUCAGGACCAGGUGCUUAAAGGUGUUUAAAAACUUGGAAAUUCAAAAAAGGAAAAGAGUACCUUUAAAAAGCUGGCCUUAGUGACAUGGUAACUGGCAGAUUCUUCUGCUUUCACACUCAGGUCAUACUUUGCUGUGAGCUGGUAAAUUGCAAUUUCAAACAUAACAUGUUGUUAGCCUUUUAAAUUUUAAUAGGUGAGAAAGAGCAGUUGCAUCAGAGAAGGAAAACACUCACCAGGUGGAAAAAAAUUUGAGUUAAGGAGGAUCCUUAUUAAUCCAAUUCUAGGGUUACUUGAUUCUGCUGAUUGCUGGAAUUUGUUCAUUGUUUGUUCAUUUGUUCCCAGCUUACCUUUAAGGACUUGCAUUAGCUGUUGUAGCUACAAUUGACCCCAUUCUUGAUAAAUUAAAUUGCUGUUCUUGUUCUAUUCAGAAAAUCAAAACAACUCAGGUCAAAAAUAAGCCAUGACAUGUUGUAGUUAUCUGCAUUAUUUAAAAAGCGUCUAAAGACACCAUGUUAUUUCUUAUCAUUAAUGAAAGAGGAGACCAAAGAACAUCAAAAUACCUUCUUCAGCCGACAAACUUCAGCAGCUCAAGAGAAAACCUUAAUAGAGAGGUAUCAGAGAUUCCCUGGUGGGAAAAGAAGAGAGGGUUUGACAGCAAACUUGGAAACAGCAAAUAUCAGAAUGCCUGAGCUGAAAAUCAAGCAUUUGGAAAAU
rnacentral:lncRNA from 1 species